CAGAAACAAGACUACCUUAGCAGCAGUGUCAUUGUUCCUGCUGCAGGUAGUCGUCUAAGCAUUUAAUAUUAUUAUUAGUUUCUCUUGUCAUUGAAUUUAUCUAUUCAUCUUCUCGGUUCUCGUCACUUUCUGGGUUUAAUUUCCUGCCAUUGGAUGGGAUCCCAUGUUCCUUCCACUUACUCGAUCCCACUCUGCCAUUCAUAGCAAACAGUAUCUACAGUCACUGGUAGUUAGGAGUACUGAUUUAAGAGUAUAUGGUCACCAACGGUGGCAAGCCAAAAUGUAUCCAGCCGCUAAGGCUGUGGACUAGUGAAUAAUGGUAUUCGAGAAGUCUCAAGUUCGAAUUUUAAUUUUCUUUUUAAAUGGUGAUGGGAAAGCGAUAAUUCACCAAUUUGAUAGGUAUGCUUGGUCGGCCGGGUGGUUCAUAUUAUAGAAAAAUGUUGAUAAUUUGAUAGGAUUUAAUUUUACGAUUCGUUUUUGAUUUGAUUAUGCA
rnacentral:lncRNA from 1 species